GGGGAUUUAGCUCAGCAGGCAUAAGCGCCUGCCUUGCAAGCAGGGGGUCGUGAGAUCGUGAGUUCGAUCCCCA
rnacentral:tRNA from 1 species